UACUUCGCUGUUCCACAGUAC
rnacentral:miRNA from 1 species